AAGGUGGGGAUGACGUCAAGUCCUCAUGGCCCUUAUGACCAGGGCUACACACGUGCUACAAUGGCCGGUACAAAGAGUUGCGAUACCGCGAGGUGGAGCUAAUCUACAUAAAAGCCGGUCUCAGUUCGGAUUGGAGUCUGCAACUCGACUCCAUGAAGUUGGAAUCGCUAGUAAUCGCGGAUCAGCACGCCGCGGUGAAUACGUUCCCGGGCCUU
rnacentral:rRNA from 1 species